AUUGAACGCUGGCGGCAGGCCUAACACAUGCAAGUCGAGCGGAUGAAGGGAGCUUGCUCCUGGCUUCAGCGGAGGACGGGUGAGUAAUGCCUAGGAAUCUGCCUGGUAGUGGGGGAUCACGUCCGGAAACGGGCGCUAAUACCGCAUACGUCCUGAGGGAGAAAGUGGGGGAUCUUCGGACCUCACGAACUCAGAUGAGCCUAGGUCGGAUUAGCUAGUUGGUGGGGUAAAGGCCUACCAAGGCGACGAUCCGUAACUGGUCUGAGAGGAUGAACAGUCACACUGGAACUGAGACACGGUCCAGACUCCUACGGGAGGCAGCAGUGGGGAAUAUUGGACAAUGGGCGAAAGCCUGAUCCAGCCAUGCCGCGUGUAGGAAGAAGGUCUUCGGAUUGUAAAGCACUUUAAGUUGGGAGGAAGAGCAGUAAGUUAAUACCUUGCUUUUUUGACGUUACCAACAGAAUAAGCACCGGCUAACUUCGUG
rnacentral:rRNA from 1 species